rnacentral:rRNA from 1 species
UGCAAGUCGAGCGGACAGAAGGGAGCUUGCUCCGGGAUGUAGCGGCGGACGGGUGAGUAACACGUGGGUAACUGCCUGUAAGACUGGGAUAACUCCGGGAAACCGGAGCUAAUACCGGAUAGUUCCCUGAACCGCAUGGUUCAAGGAUGAAAGACGGUUUCGGCUGUCACUUACAGAUGGACCCGCGGCGCAUUAGCUAGUUGGUGAGGUAACGGCUCACCAAGGCGACGAUGCGUAGCCGACCUGAGAGGGUGAUCGGCCACACUGGGACUGAGACACGGCCCAGACUCCUACGGGAGGCAGCAGUAGGGAAUCUUCCGCAAUGGACGAAAGUCUGACGGAGCAACGCCGCGUGAGUGAUGAAGGUCUUCGGAUCGUAAAGCUCUGUUGUUAGGGAAGAACAAGUGCAAGAGUAACUGCUUGCACCUUGACGGUACCUAACCAGAAAGCCACGGCUAACUACGUGCCAGCAGCCGCGGUAAUACGUAGGUGGCCAGCGUUGUCCGGAAUUAUUGGGCGUAAAGGGCUCGCNGGCGGUUUCUUAAGUCUGAUGUGAAAGCCCCCGGCUCAACCGGGGAGGGUCAUUGGAAACUGGGAAACUUGAGUGCAGAAGAGGAGAGUGGAAUUCCACGUGUAGCGGUGAAAUGCGUAGAGAUGUGGAGGAACACCAGUGGCGAAGGCGACUCUCUGGUCUGUAACUGACGCUGAGGAGCGAAAGCGUGGGGAGCGAACAGGAUUAGAUACCCUGGUAGUCCACGCCGUAAACGAUGAGUGCUAAGUGUUAGGGGGUUUCCGCCCCUUAGUGCUGCAGCUAACGCAUUAAGCACUCCGCCUGGGGAGUACGGUCGCAAGACUGAAACUCAAAGGAAUUGACGGGGGCCCGCACAAGCGGUGGAGCAUGUGGUUUAAUUCGAAGCAACGCGAAGAACCUUACCAGGUCUUGACAUCCUCUGACAACCCUAGAGAUAGGGCUUUCCCUUCGGGGACAGAGUGACAGGUG